rnacentral:lncRNA from 1 species
UAGGGUGUGGUUCUGAUUCGAUCUGGCUCUAUUGGGUUUCCCUUUUCUCUUGCAUGUUGUUAUCAGCUGCUUGUGUGUACCUUUGGUUUUUCCCCGAUUUUUGUUUUGUUUUGUUUUGUUUUUUUUUUUUUUUUUUUUUUUUUAGUAAUAGACGAAUACUUUUUUUAUCGGUGUUUUUCUUUCUGAAUUUUCACCAAAAUACUUUUGAUGAGGUUCGAUCCUUUGUGCUUCCUUUGGAUUUCUAAGUUUUUUCUUUUUCUUUGAAUUCAGCAUUUAGCUCAUGACGAUUAUCGGAUUAUGUACUGCUUGAAUAUAUAUCAUUAUUACAUUAUAUAUAUCAGUAUUUAAUUUGUUUGUAGAAGCAUGCCUAACAUUAUUGGACCUU